GACGAACGCUGGCGGCGUGCUUAACACAUGCAAGUCGAACGGAAAGGCCCUGCUUUCGGGGGGUACUCGAGUGGCGAACGGGUGAGUAACACGUGAGUAACCUGCCCUUGACUUUGGGAUAACUUCAGGAAACUGGGGCUAAUACCGGAUAGGAGCUCCUGCUGCAUGGUGGGGGUUGGAAAGUUUCGGCGGUUGGGGAUGGACUCGCGGCUUAUCAGCUUGUUGGUGGGGUAGUGGCUUACCAAGGCUUUGACGGGUAGCCGGCCUGAGAGGGUGACCGGCCACAUUGGGACUGAGAUACGGCCCAGACUCCUACGGGAGGCAGCAGUGGGGAAUAUUGCACAAUGGGUGGAAGCCUGAUGCAGCAACGCCGUGUGCGGGAUGACGGCCUUCGGGUUGUAAACCGCUUUCGCUCAUGACGAAGCUUUGUGUGACGGUAGUGGGUAAAGAAGCACCGGCUAACUACGUG
rnacentral:rRNA from 1 species